AUGAUCCUACGGGGCGCAGCAGUGGGGAAUAUUGGACAAUGGGGGAAGCCCUGAUCCAGCGACGCCGCGUGAGUGAAGAAGUAUUUCGGUACGUAAAGCUCUAUCAGCAGGAAAGAAAAUGACGGUACCUGACUAAGAAGCCCCGGCUAACAACGUGCCAGCAGCCGCGGUAAUACGUAGGGGGCAAGCGUUAUCCGGAUUUACUGGGUGUAAAGGGAGCGUAGACGGCAGCGCAAGUCUGGAGUGAAAUGCCGGUGCCCAACCCCGGAACUGCUCUGGAAACUGUGAAGC
rnacentral:rRNA from 1 species